GACGAACGCUGGCGGCGUGCUUAACACAUGCAAGUCGAGCGGUAAGGCCCUUUUGGGGGUACACGAGCGGCGAACGGGUGAGUAACACGUGGGUGACCUGCCUUCAGCUCUGGGAUAAGCUUGGGAAACUGGGUCUAAUACCGGAUGUGACUGUCUGCCGCAUGGUGGGUGGUGGAAAGUUCUCGGGCUUUGGUCUGGGUUCGGCUGGGGAUGGGCCUGCGGCCUAUCAGCUUGUUGGUGGGGUGAUGGCCUACCAAGGCGACGACGGGUAGCCGGCCUGAGAGGGCGACCGGCCACACUGGGACUGAGACACGGCCCAGACUCCUACGGGAGGCAGCAGUGGGGAAUAUUGCGCAAUGGGCGGAAGCCUGACGCAGCGACGCCGCGUGGGGGAUGACGGCCUUCGGGUUGUAAACCUCUUUCGCCAUCGACGAAGGUUCUGUGGUUGUGAGGCUGCAGGGUUGACGGUAGGUGGAGAAGAAGCACCGGCCAACUACGUGCCAGCAGCCGCGGUAAUACGUAGGGUGCGAGCGUUGUCCGGAAUUAUUGGGCGUAAAGAGCUCGUAGGCGGUGUGUCGCGUCGGCCGUGAAAACCUGCAGCUUAACUGUGGGCGUGCGGUCGAUACGGGCAUCACUGGAGUUCGGCAGGGGAGACUGGAAUUCCUGGUG
rnacentral:rRNA from 1 species